AGGGUUUGAUCAUGGCUCAGAUUGAACGCUGGCGGCAGGCUUAACACAUGCAAGUCGAGCGGAAACGAAAGUAGCUUGCUACUAGGCGUCGAGCGGCGGACGGGUGAGUAAUGCUUAGGAAUCUACCGAGUAGUGGGGGAUAGCCAUUGGAAACGAUGAUUAAUACCGCAUAUAUCCUACGGGGGAAAGCAGGGGACCUUCGGGCCUUGCGCUAUUCGAUGAGCCUGAGUGAGAUUAGCUAGUUGGUGGGGUAAAGGCCUACCAAGGCGACGAUCUCUAGCUGGUCUGAGAGGAUGAUCAGCCACACUGGGACUGAGACACGGCCCAGACUCCUACGGGAGGCAGCAGUGGGGAAUAUUGCACAAUGGGCGAAAGCCUGAUGCAGCCAUGCCGCGUGUGUGAAGAAGGCCUUCGGGUUGUAAGGCACUUUCAGCGAGGAGGAAAGGUCAGUAGUUAAUAACUGCUGGCUGUGACGUUACUCGCAGAAGAAGCACCGGCUAAUUUAGUGCCAGCAGCCGCGGUAAUACUAAAGGUGCAAGCGUUAAUCGGAAUUACUGGGCGUAAAGCGCGCGUAGGUGGUUUGUUAAGUUGGAUGUGAAAGCCCAGGGCUCAACCUUGGAACUGCAUUCAAAACUGACUCACUAGAGUACGAGAGAGGUUAGUGGAAUUUCCUGUGUAGCGGUGAAAUGCGUAGAGAUGGGAAGGAACACCAGUGGCGAAGGCGACUGACUGGCUCGAUACUGACACUGAGGUGCGAAAGCGUGGGGAGCAAACGGGAUUAGAUACCCCGGUAGUCCACGCCGUAAACGAUGUCUACUAGCCGUUGGAGGACUUGAUCCUUUAGUGGCGCAGCUAACGCGAUAAGUAGACCGCCUGGGGAGUACGGUCGCAAG
rnacentral:rRNA from 1 species